rnacentral:rRNA from 1 species
UACGUAGGGUGCAAGCGUUAAUCGGAAUUACUGGGCGUAAAGCGUGCGCAGGCGGCGCGUUAAGACAGGUGUGAAAGCCCCGAGCUUAACUUGGGAAUUGCGCUUGUGACUGGCGUGCUGGAGUGUGGCAGAGGGAGGUGGAAUUCCACGUGUAGCAGUGAAAUGCGUAGAUAUCUGGAGGAACACCGGUGGCGAAGGCGGCAUCCUGGACCGGCAGUUGACGCUGAGGCGCGAAAGCUAGGGAGCAAACGGG